AACGAACGCUGGCGGCAGGCCUAACACAUGCAAGUCGAGCGCCGUAGCAAUACGGAGCGGCAGACGGGUGAGUAACACGUGGGAACGUGCCCAAAGGUACGGAACAACUCCGGGAAACUGGAGCUAAUACCGUAUGUGCCCGAGAGGGGAAAGAUUUAUCGCCUUUGGAUCGGCCCGCGUCUGAUUAGCUAGUUGGUGAGGUAAUGGCUCACCAAGGCGACGAUCAGUAGCUGGUCUGAGAGGAUGGCCAGCCACACUGGGACUGAGACACGGCCCAGACUCCUACGGGAGGCAGCAGUGGGGAAUAUUGGACAAUGGGCGCAAGCCUGAUCCAGCCAUGCCGCGUGAGUGAUGAAGGCCUUAGGGUUGUAAAGCUCUUUCGCCAGGGACGAUAAUGACGGUACCUGGAUAAGGAGCCCCGGCUAACUUCGUGCCAGCCGCCGCGGUAACAC
rnacentral:rRNA from 1 species